UUCAGUGAUAGGUUUAGGCUACUGUCAUUCAUAUUCACCCAGUUUAGUGAUAGGUUUAGGCUACUGUCAUUCAUAUUCACCCAGUUCAGUGAUAGGUUUAGGCUACUGUCAUUCAUAUUCCAUUCACCCAGUUCAGUGAUAGGUUUAGGUUACUGUCAUUCAUAUUCACCCAGUUCAGUGAUAGGUUUAGGCUACUGUCAUUCAUAUUCACCCAGUUCAGUGAUAGGUUUAGGCUACUGUCAUUCAUAUUCACCCAGUUCAGUGAUAGGUUUAGGCUACUGUCAUUCAUAUUCACCCAGUUCAGUGAUAGGUUUAGGUUACUGUCAUUCAUAUUCACCCAGUUCAGUGAUAGGUUUAGGCUACUGUCAUUCAUAUUCACCCAGUUCAGUGAUAGGUUUAGGUUACUGUCAUUCAUAUUCCAUUCACCCAGUUC